GUGAAAUUGUUGAAAGGGAAACGAUUGAAGCCAGUCGUACUGACGGGUAAUCAACCUUUCGGGAGCGAUUCUGUGGGCUUUGGGGAGCUUCACGGCCCUCGAGUUUACAUAUUCGUACCCCUUAGGUGUACUUUCCCGGUGGUAAGUUAACAUCAAUUUCGGUCAUCAUAAAAUGACGGGAGGAAUGUAGCUUUGACCUCGGUUGAAGUGUUAUAGCCUCCGGUAGAUGUGGUGACAGGGAUUGAGGAUUGCAACGGAUACCCUUUGGGCUACCCGCCUGAUCUCUGAUGGUUGCUCUGGUGCCGAAAGCGUGCUUACGGUUAUCAAAGUUGAUUAUCAAAAGGUUAGAACGGGUUAAAUUCGUUAAGGAUGUUGACGUAAUGGCUUUAAACGAC
rnacentral:rRNA from 1 species